rnacentral:rRNA from 1 species
GGAUUAGAUACCCUGGUAGUCCACGCCGUAAACGAUGAGAACUAGAUGUCGGGAGGGUUUAGCCUCUCGGUGUCGCAGCUAACGCGUUAAGUUCUCCGCCUGGGGAGUACGGUGGCAACACUAAAACUCAAAGGAAUUGACGGGGACCCGCACAAGCGGUGGAGCAUGUGGUUUAAUUCGAUGCAACGCGAAGAACCUUACCUGCCCUUGACAUUGACAGAACCCUUUGGAGACAGAGGGGUGCUUCGGCCUGGAAAACAGGUGCUGCAUGGCUGUCGUCAGCUCGUGCUG